GACAACCCUUUCACUGAGGUAAUUUUUCCUAAUAUCCAGUUUUACAUUCCCCAGCAGAGCUUGUCGCCAUUUUCUCUUGUCUCCUGAUAUGUAUCAUUCCAGUAUCUAGUGUUUACUUGGAAGUUGAGGAAAAUUUUUACCCAGAGUUCUCUGUUAGAUUUCAGGUUUUAUUGCUGAGCUCACAUUUGCUCAAUAUAAACUCUAAAAUAUGUCUGUGUCCAGUUAUCCAGAGGUGAAACUUGAUAGGUACCAAGCAGGAGUUAAUACCUUCAUAGGUUUGCAUAUGACUAUAGAGUGAACCUGACUGUAGUGACUAUUGAAAUGUGUAAUAGUCAUGCAGUAAGGGCAUAUGAGUAUAUAAAUCUGUAUGGCUAAGAACAGGAUAAGAGUAGGUUGGAUAAGAAGUGGCUGUUAACUCAUCUCUUAAAUAGUAUAUGCAGGUAUGUGAUUAUUUUUUACCUAAUAUAUUUCUUCUCUUUCUCUGUACAGUCUUAGUAAACAGCUGGCAGAAUAUGCAGACUGGGAAAACACAGGAGAAGCUUCUACAGGUGAUAGCGCACGAGGCAUCACAGCACUUGGCACUCCACACUGGGCAGCAGCUGCUGGCUUUACAUUGGGUGCACCUGCUGUGGACAGAGGAGGUAAGACCCUUCACCNAUUUUUUACCUAAUAUAUUUCUUCUCUUUCUCUGUACAGUCUUAGUAAACAGCUGGCAGAAUAUGCAGACUGGGAAAACACAGGAGAAGCUUCUACAGGUGAUAGCGCACGAGGCAUCACAGCACUUGGCACUCCACACUGGGCAGCAGCUGCUGGCUUUACAUUGGGUGCACCUGCUGUGGACAGAGGAGCAAUAGAUGACUUCUCCCAAGGAGACUCAAUAGGGUGAGACUUUAAAAAUAUCUAACACUUACCUGAGGAAUGACUUGAGAGACACAGUACUCAUUUUGCUUUGCUUUUGAAGAAGCUCUGGGAAAGAGGGGAACAAUGACAGUUGGCAUACCUCUGAGGAAGAGGAACUUGAUUUUAUGCCCAAAAUAUGGUGCAUUUACAGGAAAAAUGUCCUGUAAAAAUAAGGGGUUUGAAGGCAAAUUUUCUCUGCAACUGAAAGAAGCUGUAGCUUCAGCCAAUAUUGUUUUCUGUUUAAAGCAAUCUCUGGCCUACCGGCCUUCCUUCUGCUGUGAGUUUUUUCUAAAGGACCUGUAGCUGGGAUGGAGUAUGCAGUAGAUUUGUAAUUUGGAGCCAAAAAGCAGUAGGUGACAAGAUAACCAAAUAGUUCUAUUUUUUUCUUGUUCAUGUGAGUCAGAUUUGCAGACUUCAAAAAUUUGCAAGUUAUUAUUGUAACCUAUCCUGUUCUUGUCCAGUCAUUGUUAUUGUUUUCUGUAAAUUUGGGGGUAGAUUCCUAAGUGAUAAAGGACAUUUGUUUAUCAAGACCUACAAAAAUCCUUCAUCACCUAGUUCUCCUUUCCUCAGCAGGUUCUUCAAGAGUGCUCAAUGAGCAGAUGAGUUACUCAAAUAGGUAAUCUAUUUUCUUCUAUAAGAUGACAUUCAGUACUUGCAUGUGAUCUCACACUGCAUGUUUUUCCUUUUCUUUUCAAUGCUCAGGUAGUACUCUUUUAGUUAGUUACAAGCUCUCAUGCCUAUUGUUUUUACUAAUGAUCCUUAGAAUUAUCAGCUUCUGAGCAAUGUCUGGAGCAUCAUCUCUGUUGCACUGGCAUUGUGCAGUAAUGUAGAACCUGAGUGUGGUUGUUCAGCCCACUCUGUAAUGCUGGAGAUGCAAGCGUGUUUGUAUUUUACUUGAUUUCAUUUUCUUGCACUGAUUUAAAUAGAAAUGAUAAAUUUUUGUGCCAUGAUUUUGAAAUGUAGGGUUAUUUUUUUAGUGUACUUGCAGGGACUAAAUUUAUGCAUAGUUAGUUACCUUGCACACAUUUGCAAGUAAGCAUCCUGAAAAUGCAGUUUUAAAUCUAAUUGCUAAUUGUAAUGCUUAAGUAUUACAAAUAUUAGAAACAGAUUUUUAGAACGGUUAUGCGCGUGAGCGGUUUUGGAACGAGUUUGCAGAAGGGUGCCUGCACAGUGUGAAAUACUUGCUGAAUUGGAUAUGAGAAGAAUGUUUAUGUAGUUAGAAGUAUAGGAUGGAGCUGGCACUAUCAUAAGGACAGUCUGAUUAUAUUUACUGUUCAAGAUUUGAUGUGAACAAAGGAUUUGUUGUUGUUACUGUUAAAAAAAAAUUCUUACAUCUUUAUUUACAGAAGGUGCAGUAGUCAAACCUGACACUGUUAAUGAGUGCUUCACAGCAGUUCAGGAAAAACAGUAAGUUAUUUGCAAAAAGUUGCAUGAUGUACUGAUAUAUAGUAUAGACUUGCUAAGUAGGUUUUUUUUGGUUGAUUUCAGGGGUUUUUUUUAAAUAGUAAAUGAGGAAAGUAGCGUUUUGUAAACCUUUAUAAUGUUAAUAGUUCAGAAUAAAAUAAGUCAUUAAAAUGAAGAUAUUCAUCACCUCUUAAGUCCUUUUCCAUCAUCAAGUUCAUCGUCCAUCCUGCCCAACCUAAUUUCUCCAUUUCUAAAUAUGCCCAAGUGGCUCCUCUCUUGUCCGUUAAUCUGAUAACAUGCCAAUUACUGUUUACAUAAUUCCUUCUGUUCCUAUGCAUUUUUCUUUUUUUGUACUUUAAGAUGAUGAUGGUGGUUCUAGAAUUGAAAGUCCUAAGUCGCCAAAGAAAAGUCUCAAACAAAGAAUCCCAUCAGGUGCAAAUGUAAACAAAGGAGGCAGUGAGGAAUUUUUUAAUCAAGAUGUCUCAGCUGCAAGCAACCUGGAUGAAGAAGAAUUGGAGGAGGAAGAGGAGGAGGAGGAAGAGGAUGAAAAUGUCAAUGGAGAUGGUGAUGAAGACUAGGAGGAGGAGGAGGAGGAGGAGGAGGAGG
ensembl:lncRNA